AGCGGAGGAAAAGAAACCAACACGGAUUGCCCUAGUAACGGCGAGUGAAGCGGCAACAGCUCAAAUAUGAAAUCUGGCGCGUCUCGCGUCUGAGUUGUAAUUUGUAGAGGAUGCUUCUGGGCAGCCACCGGUGUAAGUUCUCUGGAACAGGACGUCAUAGAGGGUGAGAAUCCCGUAUGCGACCGGAGAGGCGCCCUAUACGUAGCUCUUUUGACGAGUCGAGUUGUUUGGGAAUGCAGCUCUAAAUGGGAGGUAAAUUUCUUCUAAAGCUAAAUAUUGGCCAGAGACCGAUAGCGCACAAGUAGAGUGAUCGAAAGAUGAAAAGCACUUUGGAAAGAGAGUUAAAAAGCACGUGAAAUUGUUGAAAGGGAAGGGAUUGCAACCCGACUUGCUCGCGGUGUUCCGCCGGUCUUUUGACCGGUCUACUCGCCGCGUUGCAGGCCAGCAUCUUCUGGGGCCGCCGGAUAAGACUUUGGGAAAGUAGCUCCCUCGGGAGUGUUAUAGCCCUUUGUGUGAUGCGGCGCGUCCCGGGCGAGGUCCGCGCUUCGGCUAGGAUGCUGGCGUAAUGGUCGUAAUCCGCCCGUCUUGAAACACGGACCAAGGAGUCUAACAUCUAUGCGAGUGUUCGGGUGUCAAACCCCUACGCGUAAUGAAAGUGAACGGAGGUGGGAACCGCAAGGUGCACCAUCGACCGAUCCUGAUGUCUUCGGAUGGAUUUGAGUAAGAGCAUAGCUGUUGGGACCCGAAAGAUGGUGAACUAUGCCUGAAUAGGGUGAAGCCAGAGGAAACUCUGGUGGAGGCUCGCAGCGGUUCUGACGUGCAAAUCGAUCGUCAAAUUUGGGUAUACGGGGCGAAAGACUAAUC
rnacentral:rRNA from 1 species